UUUUGGGUAUCUUUUUUAAAAAAUAUGUCUGGUGACCUGGCCAUUCAACCAAGAUGGCUGCCACGGCUAAAAAUAGAACAUACAGGUAAAAUUCCGUUUUUGGCUUAUAACUCAAAAACCAAAGCAUUUAGUGCAAAUCUGAUGGAGUUAAAUUGUUUAUCAGGUCAAGAUCUAUCUGCCCUAAAAAUAUCAGAUGGACUGGACAACAGGUUGUCGGGUGCUGCCCUGAAUUGGUAAUUAAGGGAAGUUUAUGCCGUUUUUUGUUAUUAUCUUGAAUAUUUUUAUAGAUAGAGAUAAAGUGUAAACAGCAAUAAUGUACACCUAAAAUUAAGUCAAAAUGACCGAAAUGGUCAAUUGACCCCCUAAGGAGUUAUUGUCCUUUAUAGUCAAUUAUUAACAAUUUUCAUAAAAUUUGUAAACUUUUACUAACAUUUUCCACUGAAACUACUGGGCCAAGUUCAUUAUAGAUAGAGAUAAUUGUAAGCAGCAAGAAUGUUCAGUAAAUAGUAAGAUGUACAAACACAUCACCAUCACCAAAACACAAUUUUGUCAUGAAUCCAUCUGCUUCUUUUGUUUAAUAUUCACAUAGACUAAGGUGAGUGACACAGGCUCUUUAGAGCCUGUAGUUUUAUUAAACAUGUACAUGUAGUAGAAAUAGAAUAAAAAUGCAUUUAUUCACAAC
rnacentral:lncRNA from 1 species